rnacentral:rRNA from 1 species
AUUGAACGCUGGCGGCAGGCUUAACACAUGCAAGUCGAGCGGGGGAAGGUAGCUUGCUACCGGACCUAGCGGCGGACGGGUGAGUAAUGCUUAGGAAUCUGCCUAUUAGUGGGGGACAACAUCUCGAAAGGGAUGCUAAUACCGCAUACGUCCUACGGGAGAAAGCAGGGGAUCUUCGGACCUUGCGCUAAUAGAUGAGCCUAAGUCGGAUUAGCAAGUUGGUGGGGUAAAGGCCUACCAAGGCGACGAUCUGUAGCGGGUCCGAGAGGAUGGUCGGCACCAAUGGGACUGAGACACGGCCCAGACUCCUACGGGAGGCAGCAGUGGGGAAUAUUGGACAAUGGGCGCAAGCCUGAUCCAGCCAUGCCGCGUGUGUGAAGAAGGGCUUAUGGUUGUAAAGCACUUUAAGCGAGGAGGAGGCUACUUUAGUUAAUACCUAGAGAUAGUGGACGUUACUCGCAGAAUAAGCACCGGCUAACUCUGUGCCAGCAGCCGCGGUAA